GCAGAACUUCGAGGAUUACUCCUACUACUUGCGUUAUUUGUACAGUAGAUCAAAGGAUGGAACUGGCUACAUCUUAUACAUGAAUGGAGGUAUACACAAUUCAUACGAGUACAAACGCCCUUAAAAUUAUAAUCGUAGCAAGGGUUGUUGACUGUUUGAGAUGUAUAAGAAGAUGUCUGUUAAACCCGAUUCAUGCCUACUGCAAUAAACUGAAGCCAUAGCUGCCCAUCAAUGACGUCCCAAGCACGCGUAUGAUCUCUAGCUUUUCUAAGUCGAAAUUGCAUGUCAUAUUUAUAAACGUUCUCAAAAGGUACACUAGCCCCCCUAAUAAUCGUCAUGUAGCUAAUCAAUUCAUUUGCCAAAGCCGGAAAUCUUUGUAAUAAAAUUUUCAUGUAAUUUAAAAAACCUUCAGUCCACUCACCAAUGCUAGAUAAUGCUUUGACUUUCGAAAACUUGUUUCUUUCAAUUAAAAUGUCCCC
rnacentral:lncRNA from 1 species